rnacentral:rRNA from 1 species
CCAGCAGCUGCGGUAAUUCCAGCUCCAAUAGCAUAUAUUAAAGUUGUUGCAGUUAAAAAGCUCGUAGUUGGAUUUCUGGGAGGGCGCCAAUGUCAGCUGAUGCUUGUGCAGCGGUGCCCUUCCAUCCUUCUGUUAACGUUUCUGAUAUUCAUUUAUUGGUCUCGGGCUCAGAUAUUUUACCUUGAGAAAAUUAGAGUGUUUCAGGCAGGCUAGGCCGGAAUACAUUAGCAUGGAAUAAUGGAAUAGGACUACGGUCUCUUUGUUGGUUGAGGGGCUGCAGUAAUGAUUAAUAGGGAUAGUUGGGGGCAUUAGUACUUAACUGUCAGAGGUGAAAUUCUCGGAUUUGUUAAAGACUAACUUAUGCGAAAGCAUUUGCCAAGGAUGUUUUCAUUAAUCAAG